UCCCUCUCCACACACACACACACACACACAAAGUCCCCACAAGUCAGUUACGACCCAGUAAUAACUUAUCUGUGUCUAACAGAGCACACAACAGGGAAUGAGGACAACAUGCUCUCUACAGUCAAUAAUCAAGCACUAUGUAAUGCAGAGAUAACCUAGCACCCUUCCUAUGGAAAGAAUAUAAGUAAUGAGACAACAUUACGUUAGGAAACUGUUGACAUACACAAUAAGUGGACUGUGCUCUGUUCAGUGCAGGCUGGGACAGGAUGUAUAAUGAGAGUGAUUCCUUGAGUAAGGGGCAGGAUGGACAGACAGAAAGAUGGAUGGAGAAUGAAUAACAUCAGGGAAAGACCAGAGUGAAAAGCAAAGACUGAAAAACAGAAGAGAGACUUCUGAGGAGAAUACCCUUGAUCAGGAGUUGGAAACAAGUUUCGGGUCACAUGAAAACAGAGCACCAAUUCUGAAGGGUAGGAAGUGAUAAUAACAGGAAGGAAGGAACGUGGAGAACUAUCACAGGAUUUGAGGGACAACAAUUUAAUAAGCAGAAUCCAGAGAGAAGGUAUGAGAACAGAAGUUAAUGAGGAUAGCAGAGCAGUAGCACACCCUUCUUUCAAGAACUUGCUAAUUAAUAUCUUAUUCCUCUGGGU